GGCGAACGGGUGAGUAACACGUGAGUAACCUGCCCUUGACUUUGGGAUAACUUCAGGAAGCUGGGGCUAAUACCGGAUAGGAGCUCCUGCUGCAUGGUGGGGGUUGGAAAGUUUCGGCGGUUGGGGAUGGACUCGCAGCUUAUCAGCUUGUUGGUGGGGUAGUGGCUUACCAAGGCUUUGACGGGUAGCCGGCCUGAGAGGGUGACCGGCCACAUUGGGACUGAGAUACGGCCCAG
rnacentral:rRNA from 1 species